rnacentral:rRNA from 1 species
GUGGUUUAGAUACCCGAGUAGUCCACGCCGUAAACGGUGGGUACUAGGUGUGGGGAACAUUCCACGUUCUCCGUGCCGCAGCUAACGCAUUAAGUACCCCGCCUGGGGAGUACGGCCGCAAGGCUAAAACUCAAAGGAAUUGACGGGGCCCCGCACAAGCGGCGGAGCAUGCGGAUUAAUUCGAUGCAACGCGAAGAACCUUACCUGGGUUUGACAUAUACCGGAAACAUCUAGAGAUAGGUGCCCCUUUUUGGUCGGUAUACAGGUGGUGCACGGUUGUCGUCAGCU